GGGCGCAUGGUUUAGUGGUAUAAUUUCUCAUUUGCAAUGAUCUGACUAUCAUAUCUUGAGAAGGUCCUGGGUUCAAUUCCCAGUACGUCCA